AACUUAUGGUGCUUUUCCCUGGGCCCGCCCAUGGCCACCCAUGAACCAAUCAGCACACACUUCCUCCCCGGUAAGGCCCAUACAAGCCUCAGAUUCAGAUUCAGCCAGACUCCAGCAGAGGAAGAAAGAUGAUGGGGAGAUGACACGCCGACCAGCUGCAGAGAGGAACUACCCUCUCUGCUGACAGCUGGACACUUAUCAGGAGACCUGCCUGCAGAGAGGAGCUACCCUCUCUGCUGAGAGCUGAAGAGAAGAUGGGCCAACCAGCUGCAGAGAAGAGAGGAGCUACCUUCUCUACCGAACACGGAACACUCCUUGGGACGACCUGCCCAGCAGAGAGGAGCUACCCUCCCUGCUGAGAGCUGAACACUCAUCGGGACACCCUGGCUAUGCAGAGGAGCUGCACACUCCAGGUCUACUGUGAGCUGUUCUAUUGUUCAGUAAAGCUCCUCUUCGUCUUGCUCACGCUCCACUUGUCUGUGUACCUCAUUCCUCCUGGACACAGGACGAUAAUCUGAGACCUGCCAAAUGGCGGGGCUAAAAGAGCUGUAAUACAGACAGGGCUGAAACACGCCACUUGCUCGCCAUUUUGUGAGUGACAAGGACGAGAGAAGUGAGAAGGAGAGAAGGAGAGGAGCUGCAGCUCUUUGGGAAACCUAGACCUGGGAGCUCCCCAAGCCAGGGCUGUGACUACCCCUUUGGGGCUCUGAGGUUCCUGGAGUCUCCAAGCUUCUGGGCACCACUGUGUUCCCUGGUGCCAGCCGUGGAAGCUGCUUGUGGUGCAGCUGGCCCAGCAGCAGCCUCGCAGAGAGCCGACGCCUGUGCCAGCACCUGCAGCUGCCCGCCCCACGGCAGCAGUCAGUGUAUCUGACUGUGCACAGUGGCUGGACCCCACACUUGCUCACACACCCCUCACUGCUCCACACCUGACUCGCAGUCUCCCUCGAGGCGUGGGAUCCAGGCUGGUAGCAUGAGCCGAGCACAGCCUGCCAGGCUGAGGGGGUGGAAUGAGCCCAGCAGACCCGAGCAAAACUCACACAGAGGCACCACUGGCCACAGAGUUUUCCGGCCAGAAAAGCGACACCCCAAAGUUCUCAUAACAAAAUAUUGCCUCUCCCAUCCAACCCAACUGGAAUUUGCUAGUCUGAAUAUUUGGGUCAUCCCAAAUUAUACGUUGAAAUCCUAACCCCCAAGGUGAGGGCAUCAGGAGGUGGCGCUCUGGCAGGUGAAGAAGUCCUGAGGCAAAGCCCUCGUAAAUGGGAUUAGUGCCGUCAUAAAAGAGACCUCAGAGCCUUCUCACCCUUUCUGCCAUGCAAGGAUACAGCGAGAGGACAGCCAUCUAUGAACGGAAAGCGGGUGCUCCCCAGAUAUCAAAUGUGCCUGCACCUUGAUCUUGGACUUCCUAGCCUCUGAACUAAUCCUGAAGUCAAGUUCUGGAAAAAAGAAAAGUGAAAGUUCACAGAGAUAAGAAACAAGGUUGGCACACUAGACUAUGUAUUGGGGACCACGGCUCCCAGUCCUCCUGCAACUCGGCUGUCUCCCUGUCCUGCCUGUGUCAGUGCCUCAUGG
rnacentral:lncRNA from 1 species